GAGGUUGUAGCUCAGUGGUAGAGUACUUAUCUAGCAUGUAUGAGGCCCUGGGUUCGAUCCUCAGCACCACA
rnacentral:tRNA from 1 species